AAUAAGUCCAUGAGCAAGUGUCUUUCCUGCUGGCCUCACUGACAGCUUAAAUUAAUGAAUGCAUGGAAAGGCUCAGAAGGUAUCACACAGCACUGAUCAUGCUCUCAUAGUAGAGCUUGCUCUGAUUACAGAUAUAGUGGCAGUACCAGCAAAAAGCAGUAGCACUAUUCUCACAGGAUCUUGAAAAUCUGAUGCCAUAAUAAGAAGUAGAAAAACCAGUUUAGAGAUUCUAGGAUAUAACAGAAGUGGA